rnacentral:tmRNA from 1 species
GGGGCUGACCUGGUUUCGACGAAGGUUCGGACUCGGGACAGUGCACGCCGAGCACCAGUUCGCUCGUAAAUCCACUGGAAACAAAGUAACUGCGAACGAUCAAACGUACGCUCUCGCCGCUUAACACCGGUGAGCCUCGCAACAGUUGGCCCAUGGGCUGGGUCUGACGGGUAACCGGAAGACUGCGAGGUCAUACACAUGGGAUCGCUUGCUGCCGCGUCAUUCGGUAGCCGGCUAGAUCAAGUGACUCGGGGUGACGGUAGCGUGCUGCUGCGCGACCUGAACCCUUAAAGCCAAACCAGCCAGCUAAGCGUGUAGACCUGCCUGAGAAAGGCUUUCGGACGGGGGUUCGAUUCCCCCCAGCUCCACCA